UAGAUUUUUCUGAGAACGUUCAGUUCCGCCGUAGAACAAAAACACGAGGAAAAAAUAAUAUAGUUUUUUGUGUUUUUAAAAAUGUAUUGUAUUGUUAUUGCUUGUACGAUUUUAUAAAAAAAAACGUUAAAAAAUUAUGAAUGAUUAAUUCCUUCGUAAUUUAUUAGGUAUAAAAGGUUUUGGGAAACAUUACUGGUCCUACUUUUUUUGUGUUUUGUAACUAUGUACCGGUUAUUAUGACGAGCUGUCUUAAUUGAAGCAUUCUCUCAACUAGUCGCCAAAGUGAAUUUUAAUUUGAAAUGAAAAUGCAUGUAUAAUAUGGCUGUUGGCACCCUGAAGGACUUAAGGCGUCGAGAACUGAGUCGAGGCAACGAGCAAUAAGGACGAGCGGCAACCUGACCGCCAUCCGUCCCGCAAAGUAUAGCUUUGCGGCGGUCCCGCGGGAACGGAACUCUUCUACCUGUUCCUCUUCUACCAUUGCUCCUGUAUAUAAUAAUAAAAAAAAAAAAAACAUGUGACAUCCCAGUCGGAAAAACACGCACCCAGGAUGUGUUCUUUUACACUUCCUUUGCAUGCGAAAAACGCAUUCCAGAUCCCUGAAAGCUCCCUUUCCUUUUAGUUCGAGACGGGACAAGAAGCAAGACAUCUUUUAGAACCGAUCUAAGAACGAAUAUUAAUAUGUUUGAUUGGAAGGUAUGUAGUUUCUACUUCGGAAACUAUUUGUACUUUACGAAGGAAGCAUUCUACAGCGCACUGUUAGAAUGAACCCUUCUGGAUUGCUUCCAAAGCAAGCAUUGCGUAACACUUCUAAAGAAUGAAUAUUGAUCCACAAGAACACAUUUAGAAUGAUUCUAAAACAUGCCUUUUAAUAGUCUUA